CCUACGGGGGGCAGCAGUGAGGAAUAUUGGUCAAUGGGCGAGAGCCUGAACCAGCCAAGUCGCGUGAGGGAGUACUGCCCUAUGGGUUGUAAACCUCUUUUGUCGGGGAGCAAAAGCCGGACGUGUCCGGCUGUGAGAGUACCCGAAGAAAAAGCAUCGGCUAACUCCGUGCCAGCAGCCGCGGUAAUACGGAGGAUGCGGGCGUUAUCCGGAUUUAUUGGGGUUAAAGGGUGCGCAGGCGGAUUUUUAAGUCAGCGGUCAAAUCGUGGGGCUCAACCCCGUCCAGCCGUUGAAACUGGGGAUCUAGAGUGUGCGAGAGGUAUGCGGAAUGCGUGGUGUAGCGGUGAAAUGCAUAGAGAUCACGCAGAACCCCGAUUGCGAAGGCAGCAUACCGGUGCACAACUGACGCUCAGGCACGAAAGCGUGGGUAUCGAACAGGAUUAGAUACCCCGGUAGUC
rnacentral:rRNA from 1 species